rnacentral:tRNA from 1 species
GGUUCCAUAGUGUAGCGGUUAACACAUCUGCUUUACACGCAGAAGGUCCUGGGUUUGUGCCCCAGUGAAGCCA